rnacentral:rRNA from 1 species
UGAGUAACACGUAUCCAACCUGCCGUCUACUCUUGGACAGCCUUCUGAAAGGAAGAUUAAUACAAGAUGGCAUCAUGAGUCCGCAUGUUCACAUGAUUAAAGGUAUUCCGGUAGACGAUGGGGAUGCGUUCCAUUAGAUAGUAGGCGGGGUAACGGCCCACCUAGUCUUCGAUGGAUAGGGGUUCUGAGAGGAAGGUCCCCCACACUGGAACUGAGACACGGUCCAA